GACGAACGCUGGCGGCGUGCUUAACACAUGCAAGUCGAGCGGUAAGGCCCUUUCGGGGUACGACGAGCGGCGAACGGGUGAGUAACACGUGGGUGACCUGCCCUCAGCUCUGGGAGUAAGCCCGGGAAACGUGGGUCUAAUACUGGAUAUGACUCCACGGUGCAUGCCGGUGGGGUGGAAAGCCUUGUGCGGCUGAGGAUGGGCCCGCGGCCUAUCAGCUUGUUGGUGGGGUGAGGCCUACCAAGGCGACGACGGGUAGCCGGCCUGAGAGGGCGACCGG
rnacentral:rRNA from 1 species